rnacentral:lncRNA from 1 species
UUAUUCACAUAAUUUACAUAUCUAUGCAUUACAUUAUUUUUUUCUUUCACUAUACCAUUUAGGGUUUAGUUGGAAUUGGCAUCCAGGGACCUCCGGGACAGGAUGGACCUCAAGGCUUAAAGGGAGAUCCUGGUUUACCUGGCCCACCAGGCCCACCUGGUUUGCCAGGUGCAGUUGGAACUCCUGGCCAGUCUGGUCUGAGAGGAGAAAAUGGAAUGACUGGCCAACCUGGACCUCCAGGAGAGAGGGGUUUGACUGGCUUCCCAGGGAGAGAUGGGACUGCAGGGUCACCAGGACCACCAGGACCUCCAGGGUCACCAGGUACUUCAGGCACUCCAGGAGUAAAGGGAGACAAGGGGGACACAGGUAUCGGACAACCAGGACCUAGAGGAGAACGAGGAGAUCCAGGAACUCGGGUAGGUAUUUCACACUGACUCUGGAACUAUCUUAACAUCAUUAUCCAGGUACAGUGACACUGUAGGGUGAGGG